rnacentral:rRNA from 1 species
UACGUAGGGGGCUAGCGUUGUCCGGAAUCAUUGGGCGUAAAGCGCACGUAGGCGGCUUAGCAAGUCGGAAGUGAAAUCCCACGGCUCAACCAUGGAAGUGCUUUCGAAACUGCUGAGCUUGAGUACUUAAGAGGAUCGCGGAAUUCCCGGUGUAGAGGUGAAAUUCGUAGAUAUCGGGAGGAACACCAGUGGCGAAGGCGGCGAUCUGGGAAGAUACUGACGCUGAGGUGCGAAAGCGUGGGGAGCAAACAGG